GAAUUCCCAUAUGAAUAGUAGCAGCAGCUAGUCAGUUACUGCAGAGGAGCCCGCUGGGAUUGUGAUCGAGACCACGUUGAGUAUACAGAUCGCUCUGGGGAGCACUGCCAUCCCAAGAGCGCUGUCAUCUGAUCCAGGAAUGUGCGUGGUGUGUCUGUCCAGGGGAAAAGAGUACAAUUCAAAAAUAUAAAGAUUGUGAGCUAAUGAGAUAGACAAGACAACCGAACAUUUGUUAAAUAUCCUUUCAUGCCGGAAACAAAUGUAUUAUACACACAAAAAGCACACAAAUCACGGUAGUACUGCGGUUACAAACGUGGGUCCGAGUUCGAGUCCUGCUCUGGAGUUACCAGUCCUGUGAGAUGGAGAACUGAGUUCUAUGUAUAGUUGGUUACAUUCUAUACCUGGAAAUUUCUCCAAAACUGCUUCCCACGUGCCCUCACCUCCAGUGGCAUCCAUCCAGACACCAGCACUGACACUGGCCGUGCUCACAACUGCCUUAGCCCUGAAGACACAACUGACAAAUAGAAGGGGGCUAUGCCCUAAGACAGCAGGUGCUCUUACUUUGUGGGUCCUUAUGUAACUGCGCGGUGUUAUUCAGGAUCGCCCGUUCUACACUUUGUGACGCUGCUGCCGUGUCUCCUAGUUAUUUCUGAUCUGAGAAGCAGGAGCAAGGAACUCAGGGAGAGAUCCAGGAAGACAUCUGACUCUGUUAAGAGACGACAGUCACAGCGACACGGGGAGCGAGGACACUUGCAGCAAAGUAAAAUGACUUCACAACUAUUGCAUCAGAGCUGCAGGUGUGAGAGAGCCUAAGCCUGUCUCAGAGUGCAGGGGACAAGAGGAAAGGAAUGGUAAAAUUAACACUGACAAUUGAAAUUUUGUUAAAUAGCCUGCUAAUAUUAAUUGUAUCAAAUGAAUGUAUGCAGGUGUAUUUCUAUGAUCAUUUAUAGGUACACACAACCCCACCAGCCCCUCUUUCUCCCAUCGGGGAUGGGCUUUCUCAAGCACAGUGCCCCUCCUGGUUGAGUGGGCCACGCUGCGGGUCCUCGCCUGGGGCCAGGCUGCUGCAGGACACUGAGUCCCCGAGGCACGGCCUGGGAGACAUGACAGGAACAUCUCUGCUCAUAACUGAGAGCCUCCGUUUCCCCCUGCAGUGUAAGAAUGCCGGUGACUCAGUUAGAAGCAUGCAUCCAACCCGUCCUUCCGUGUCAUCACCAUCUAGAAUCGGUGCCUGAAUCUUCUGAAUUUCUCCAGAAUGUGGUUUAAAAUCACCUUCGACAAUUGAGUGUGUGUCCUCUUACAAGUGGAGG